rnacentral:rRNA from 1 species
UACAGAGGGGGCAAGCGUUAUUCGGAAUUAUUGGGCGUAAAGAGCUUGUAGGCGGUUUGUCGCGUCUGCCGUGAAAAUCCGGGGCUCAACCCCGGACUUGCGGUGGGUACGGGCAGACUAGAGUGUGGUAGGGGAGACUGGAAUUCCUGGUGUAGCGGUGAAAUGCGCAGAUAUCAGGAGGAACACCGAUGGCGAAGGCAGGUCUCUGGGCCACUACUGACGCUGAGAAGCGAAAGCGUGGGGAGCGAACAGG